rnacentral:rRNA from 1 species
UACGAAGGUGGCAAGCGUUGUUCGGAUUUACUGGGCGUAAAGGGAGCGUAGGUGGUUAGGUAAGCCCUCCGGGAAAUCUUCAGGCUUAACCUGAAAAGGUCGGGGGGGACUGCCUGGCUAGAGGACGGGAGAGGAGCGCGGAAUUCCCGGUGUAGCGGUGAAAUGCGCAGAUAUCGGGAAGAACACCCGUGGCUAAGGCGGCUCUCUAGUACGGUACUGACGCUGAGACGCGAAAGCGUGGGGAGCGAACAGG